UCCCGCUAGAUCUCCUAAUGCCCCUUUCUGAUCCACGUAAAACAUGCCAUCUUUUACUCUGUUUAGUUACUUACGCUUUAAAAAUAAUGCAUGUUUCAGUCUCUCCCCAGACCUCGUAUGCAUGAAAAGAAAAAUCAAAUCAGCUCCACCUCUGCGGCGUACGGAAAAACGGAACCCAAACGGGCAUCUGACACUUGCAUUGUUGAUCAGAUAUCACUGACAAUCAAAGCUCUGUGCAUUUUCUAACCCACUUAUAUCAAGGUCAAUGUACUUACAUUAACUCAUCAUCUACUCAUCUGUUUCAAUUAAUGGUACAGUAGAACCUCUGCCUAGACUCAGCCAUGUCCAAUUUACAUCUGACCAUGAGACGGUGAAGAACCCUUUCUCUGUGUUUGCUGAUGGGCAGCCAAUAUAUAUCCUUGGGGAAAACCUUCUUUUGCCUCCAUAACAUCCUGAAUUGUUCAAGAAAUCGAGACUCAUCAGACCAGGCAACAUUUUUCCAGUCUUCAACUGUCCAAUUUUGAACGGGAACCAGUCCUAAAUGGAACACCAGGCCAUUGAAAGAUACAGAGAGACUAUUACAGAUGCCAAUUACUGCAACAUAAUGUCAAAAUAUUUAAGAUGCAAGAGAAAACUGGCGUACUGGGAGAAAAAUGAUGGAGAUCCUGAAAAUGUGUGAACUUCACACAGGCAAAAAUCAGACUGGGAAUCUAAUCGAGGUCCAUUAAGUCACCAUAGCAAUCCAUAGUUGUGUUUAUUUGAAAAAAAGUAUGACUCUUGAGGGAAUACUCCAUCCAAAAAUGGUAUUUUUUUAAUAUAUUACUUACUCCAUGUAGCUUAUAGCAAUGCCCAAGAAAAAAAUUAUAAUCUCAUGUUUUCAUGCAAAAAGUUUAUUGACAGGGUUUCUUAAGCUAUUUUUGUUGCGACCCAAUUUUGUCCUUUUCAUUGUUUUAGAGACACAUUCCUUGUUGAAUGGGAUGGAGGGAUUGAAGACCAAAUUGGAGCAAUGUCGAUUGCUUAACCCAAUUUGAAAACUGUCUGUGACCCAUCAUAAUUAAAUCCAACAGUAAUUCGCAACCCUACUCCGGCAACAUGCAACCCCAAAUCCUGGUUUAUGAUAUAACAGGACAGCAAUGGUGACCAACAACAAAUGACAUGAACAACAUCCAAAAGCACAGUAUUAUGGGAAUGAAUUUCCUGUUUAUAAUGUCUGCUGAGUUUUCUGUUACCGAUGCAAUUCAAAAUAUGAUGUCAUUGCCACCCAGACCUGAAAUGCUGUAGGCAGCUUGCACCUUCUUUGAUGGCACUGACUAUUUCAUCCAACUGUAUCAGUGUUGUAUGGGCCCUUAAAUAGGAAAUACUCCUCAGCUGCCUUCUGAGUAUUAACUGGAGUUGGUGCCUCUUACACAGGACUUACAUGGCUACAGUUGUAAAGUUUCAGAAGCAGUAAAGUCGAAUCACUUUAUGCAUACUCUAAGAAAGAUCAUAUUAUUAUAAAGAAAUAUAAAGAUAAUAGUGCUGCAAGUAAAAAUGUAUAUGAUGUGGAGUCAUUCAAUUUCCUUUCACUAAGAGAUAUUUGAAAUAAACUGAGGCUUAGGGCCUUGUGGAGGACUGAGAGAAAAUGAGUCUUGCUUGGUUGCACAUAAAUAGUUUUUGAAUUGCUAACUUGUUUCUGGAUACUGCUUACAUUUUCUUUCUGUGUGUAGUAAUAGCAGUAGCAACAUCAUAAGUAAAGUAGUUACUGCUGCUGCAUCAUACCUUGAAUAGGCCCUGUUAAUGGUCUACUCUGGUUUUUUUUCUUUCAGAUCCUCCAGACAUAUGUGACUUGAGAUGAUAAAUUCCAAGUAAGUGAGUGUACAAUGUGGGUUGACUUAGCCUUCCGGGGUUAGUUUCUGUCUUGCACCUAAUGCUUCUAGGACAGCCUCCAGGCCCCUGCGACCUUAUAAUUGGAUUAAGAAGCUUUUGAUGAUGGCUGUUUACAUAAUUUAAUUACAUUAUGGAAUAUACUAGGAGAAUGACAAGCCAGCAACUCACUAAGAGAUGUUUGACAGGUGCUAAAUUGAGGCUUGGGAACAUUGUGGAGGACAGAGAAUCUGAAAGUACAUGAGUGGAGAAAAAAAGUGAGCAUUAUGUGGUUGAUCAGAAACAGUCUGUAUUACUUAUGUUUUGGAUACUAUUUAGCCUUUCUUUCUAUGCAUCUGUGUAAGAGAGAACAUUAGUCUUUCAUUGUUUUUCACUGAAUUAUAAUGUUUUUCAUUAAUGUACUCAUUGAAAGAAUCAUAAGAACACAUAUUGUAUUACUACAAACAGUGUGUACUGUCUGAAGAGGUACAGUUAUUUAAAUGAAGACAACCAGGAGAUACACAGUCAGAGAACAACCUAAGGUCAAAACUGAGAGAUAAACCAAUCUUUCAUCUGAGCCAAAACACUAACCAAAAACAAAACUGACAUAAAGAGAAAAAAAAGUUUUGUUAAUCAGAAUUUCAAAAUCAAAAAAGGUCUUUUGGAAACUUACAAAGAUUAGGUAUCUGCAAACUGACCUUUACACUAUAACUUCUAUGACAUCAGAAGCAUUGUGUCACCUGAGAAAUUCUGAGAGAUGCUACCAGGAUGACACAAAAUGUCAAUGCCCUUGAGAAAACAAAGAUGGUGAUGCAUGAUUAUAAAGUGUCAACUUUGUUAAUGAAAAAAUGAAUGUAAAAAUCAAUAUUAAAAAAAUCCAAAAACACCAGAAUAGACGUACAGAUCAUAAUAUUUCAUGCAGAAUACUUACAAAUACAUAUUGUAUAUAUCAUUUAUAAUUGUAUAUAUACUGUAUAUGCGUUGCAUGAGAUGUAUACUUUUUUAUAAGAUGUAUACUUAUUUAUUUAUUUUUUUAUUGUUUUUAAUUUCAUUGUACUAUGGACUUAUGCAGACAGUGCCCAUAGAAGAGUGCAAGGCAGGAACCAACUUUCAACAGAGCAUUAGUCCAUAUACUGACUGACACUGUUUUGAUUAAUUAUUUAAUUACUUCUAUUUAGUUUUAUUAAAAACCUAAUUUAUUUUAAACACGUGUACAGACACAUGUAUAGUCUGAUAUUUCUCUGUUAAUAUCAUGUGAAUUUCUCCUUGGGAUUAAUAAAGUAUCUAUCUAUCUAUCUAUCUAUCUAUCUAUCUAUCUA